rnacentral:rRNA from 1 species
GUAAAGCGGCGAACGGGUGAGUAACGCGUGGGUAACCUGCCUCCAAGUUGGGGAUAAUCCCGAGAAAUCGGGCCUAAUACCCAAUAAUAUCCUGGAGGGGCAUCCCUUUAGGAUCAAAGGUGACCUCUGCUUGCAAGUUACCACUUGGAGAGGGGCCCGCGUCUUAUUAGCUUGUUGGUGAGGUAAUGGCUCACCAAGGCAACGAUGGGUAGCCGGCCUGAGAGGGUGUCCGGCCACACUGGGACUGAGAUACGGCCCAGACUCCUACGGGAGGCAGCAGUAGGGAAUAUUGCGCAAUGGCCAAAUGGCUGACGCAGCAACGCCGCGUGGGUGAUGAAGCUCUUCGGAGUGUAAAACCCUGUCAGGAGGGAAGAAAUUCCCUUAGGGAAAUACUCUAAGGGAACUGACGGUACCUUCAGAGGAAGCUCCGGCCAACUCCGUGCCAGCAGCCGCGGUAACACGGGGGGAGCAAGCGUUGUCCGGAAUUACUGGGCGUAAAGGGCGCGUAGGCGUUCCGAUAAGUCAGAUGUGAAAGCCUUCUGCUCAACAGAAGAAUUGCAUUUGAAACUAUCGGAAUUGAGUGCAGGAGAGGAGGGUGGAAUUCCUGAUGUAGCGGUGAAAUGCGUAGAUAUCAGGAGGAACACCCGUGGCGAAGGCGGCCCUCUGGCCUGUAACUGACGCUGAGGCGCGAAAGCGUGGGGAGCAAACAGGAUUAGA